ensembl:rRNA 5S_rRNA 5S ribosomal RNA
GCUUACGGCCAUACCACCCUGAGAACGCCCGAUCUCGUCUGAUCUCGGAAGCUAAGCAGGGUCGGGCUUGGUUAGUACUUGGAUGGGAGACCGCCUGGGAAUACCAGGUGCUGUAAGCU